AGCGAACGCUGGCGGCAGGCCUAACACAUGCAAGUCGAACGAAGUCUUCGGACUUAGUGGCGGACGGGUGAGUAACACGUGGGAACGUGCCUUUAGGUUCGGAAUAACUCAGGGAAACUUGUGCUAAUACCGAAUGUGCCCUUCGGGGGAAAGAUUUAUCGCCUUUAGAGCGGCCCGCGUCUGAUUAGCUAGUUGGUGAGGUAAAGGCUCACCAAGGCGACGACCAGUAGCUGGUCUGAGAGGAUGAUCAGCCACAUUGGGACUGAGACACGGCCCAAACUCCUACGGGAGGCAGCAGUGGGGAAUCUUGCGCAAUGGGCGAAAGCCUGACGCAGCCAUGCCGCGUGAAUGAUGAAGGUCUUAGGAUUGUAAAAUUCUUUCACCGGGGACGAUAAUGACGGUACCCGGAGAAGAAGCCCCGGCUAACUACGUGCCAGCCGCCGCAGUAAAAC
rnacentral:rRNA from 1 species